ACUGGACCCAGCAGAAGACAGUGUGCUGUUGAUGUAAAAGGAAUACACCUGCUUUAAUACAUAAAGAACACACCUAUUUCAACCUUCACUCCUAAAGCAAAGCAGUCUUUAGUUCCUGGUGUUUUCUUCAAUGUAAAUUCAAGCCUGCCAGCUUUUGGGAACCUGAAAGAUGCCUGAAGUUCACAACACAGAGGAUAUCUUGCCUGGAGCUACUGGUAUGGUAGGGAUUUUCCCAUCUCUCUAUUCCCAGUGUGUCUGUUUUAUAGUUGAAAAGGUUGGUAUACAAGUUGAUUGAUUUUUUUGUGUGUGUUUUGGGGUUUUUUUUGGUUUUUUUUGUGUCAUUUUUAUUUUUAUUUUUUUUAUUUUUUUUAAGGAAGAUCAUGAUGAAUAGAAAACUAGUCUUGCUCCUGUCCCCAAAGAAAUCUUGUCUGAAGUACUUGAGUCAGCCAAGACUUUUUCCCUCUACCAGGCUACUGGAGAUGUGCAUGUUUGUUUUUUUUUCAAGAUAAGUAUCCUGCAAUCCAGAUCUCCCACUGCAAAUGAUUCAUUUCCCCUCUUGGCCCAGCUGUGUGCGCACGUGUGUGGUGGUGGUGAGCCAGAGCUGACCAGUGCCCUGGGACAAAGAGAGGAAAAGAAGAGGUUUUCUAUGCAGUUGUUUCAUAAUUUGCUGCCAGAUCCCAGAAACUGCAGAACGGACACAGACAGAAGCUCAAGAAGAAAUUCUUUCACUGAGCAAGGAUGCAUUGGCUCCCACCUGAUAUCCAGGAAAACUGCACAGGAACAGUGAACCUCACCCUCUGCAGGGAAUCUGGAAGAGGAGCACAGGCUGCAUGCAAGCUGCCUCUCUGCUUCUCCCAUCUCUGGACAGCAGCUCAGGGCCAGGGUUAGUUUCCCUGGAGUUACACUCCUUGAGGCAGUAUUAGAAAGCCUCACCUGCAUGGUUUUGCCCCACAUAAUCCCCAGCCAAAUCCUUUUCUUUAACAGAAUUAAAGAAAAUUAUUUGAACUGCACCUCUAUGUUUCCUGCACCUACACACAGUGUUUAUGGUUCAGCUGGAGAAGAAGAAGUUCAACAAAUGGUCAGUUAAAUUAAACUAGAAAAAGGAUAGCCAGUGGGAGCAGGGAAGAUAAGGAAAGGCUCUAUUGGAGAUGGUACACUGUGGUAUCCCAGCUAAUCCAGAUGCUGAUGGAGCUGGUGAUGGCUGUUCUGUGCCCUACAGAAGCACAGAAAUAGGUGGCCAGGAGUCACCUGUUCCAAGAGUCUCCCCUCUAUUUUGGAUUCAGUUCUGAGUCUAAUGUCCACUGCUGCUCAGUGAGUGUGCACAUUUCAUCAGUGUUCGUGCCAUUUCCCAUGCCUGUCACCCACCCCAGACAUGUGGGCCACCCUGCAGCAGACACUCCAGCUUGUGGAGACUCUUGGGCCAAAGAAGUGUCCUGAGUCCUUCAGGAUGCUGAAGUAAAGCUGCAGCAUUGGCAGAAGCCCUGGUGUGACAGCUCCAGCCUCCGAGGGGAUCCAUGCUCUCCUCUACCUGCAUUAGCCUUAUAUAAUGUUUCAGCUGCAGCUAGUGUGACACUGGCACCUUUGUGUCACCG
rnacentral:lncRNA from 1 species